rnacentral:rRNA from 1 species
GACGGAGGGUGCUAGCGUUGUUCGGAAUCAGUGGGCGUAAAGGGCGCGUAGGCGGCUUUGGGAGUCGGCUUCGUGAAAGCCCGGGGCUCAACCCCGGAGGUGCGGCCGAUGCACCAAGGCUGGAGGCCGGAAGAGGAGGGUGGAAUACCCAGUGUAGAGGUGAAAUUCGUAGAUAGUGGGUGGAACACCGGUGGCGAAAGCGGCUCUCUGGUCCGGUCCUGACGCUGAGGCGCGAAAGCGUGGGGAGCAAUCCGG